CCUACGGGGGGCAGCAGUGGGGAAUAUUGCACAAUGGGGGAAACCCUGAUGCAGCGACGCCGCGUGAGUGAAGAAGUAAUUCGUUAUGUAAAGCUCUAUCAGCAGGGAAGAAAAUGACGGUACCUGAGUAAGAAGCCCCGGCUAACUACGUGCCAGCAGCCGCGGUAAUACGUAGGGGGCAAGCGUUAUCCGGAUUUACUGGGUGGAAAGGGAGCGUAGACGGCAGUGCAAGUCUGGAGUGAAAGGCGGGGGCUAAACCCCCGGACUGCUCUGGAAACUGGACGGCUGGAGUGCAGGAGGGGAAAGGGGAAUUCCUGGUGUAGCGGUGAAAUGCGUAGAGAUUAGGAGGAACACCAGUGGCGAAGGCGACUGACUGGACUGUAACUGACGUUGAGGCUCGAAAGCGUGGGGAUCAAACAGGAUUAGAUACCCGGGUAGUC
rnacentral:rRNA from 1 species